rnacentral:snRNA from 1 species
AGCUUUGCACAGUGGCAGCAUCGUAGCCAAUGAGGUUUAUCUGAGGCACGAUUAUUGCUAAUUGAAAACUUUUCCCAGUACCCCACUGUGACGACUUGCAAUAUAGUUGGCAUUGGCAAUUUUUGAUAGUCUCUACGGAGG